rnacentral:tRNA from 2 species
GGGCCUCUAGCUCAAUUGGCAGAGCAGCGGACUUUUAAUCCGUUAGUUCAGGGUUCGAGUCCCUGGAGGCCUACCG